rnacentral:rRNA from 1 species
GUAGGGUGCGAGCGUUAAUCGGAAUUACUGGGGCGUAAAGCGUGCGCAGGCGGUUUGGCAAGUCAGAUGUGAAAUCCCCGAGCUCAACUUGGGGAACUGCGUUUGAAACUGCCAGACUAGAAUAUGUCAGAGGGGGGUAGAAUUCCACGUGUAGCAGUGAAAUGCGUAGAGAUGUGGAGGAAUACCAAUGGCGAAGGCAGCCCCCUGGGAUAAUAUUGACGCUCAUGCACGAAAGCGUGGGGAGCAAACAGGAUUAGAUACCCUGGUAGUCCACGCCCUAAACGAUGUCUACUAGUUGUUGGUGGAGUAAAAUCCAUGAGUAACGCAGCUAACGCGUGAAGUAGACCGCCUGGGGAGUACGGUCGCAAGAUUA